AUGUCCUUAAACACGGCUGUCCUCCCUGUGCCAGGUCUGUGCCAAGCACAUCACAUGCCUGCUUCCCACAGCCACUUUCCUGCGGUCCAAGGUCGCAGACCGAGGUGGGGCUCCAACUCCAGCGACCACGCCCGCGCACGAGGAGCAGCGCCCCCUAGGGAGCCGAGGGAUGGCCGCGGGAGGCCCCAGGGCCGGCAGUCGGCGCCGGGUGUCAGCAGCCAGGGCACCCGCUGCCGGCUUGCGAGCCGAGGGCCAGCAAGCAUUCCACAGCCACUGGUCUGCCACCAGCCAGGCACUGUGCUAGGAACCUAUGAGUCUGGGGCCCAGUGCCUGGCUUGGAGAGCUUGCAAUCUGGUGACAGUUACACUGUAAGCAAGUGGAUGAAAGCUACCUAUGGCAGGUAAGCCCAGGGAGACAAGAGGGUGCAGAGGAAUUUGGGGUGGGAGGGGUGAAGCAUGGCCCUAAACCUGAGGCGUCUGUUGGGGAGGGGAGAAGUGAGCUCUGGAGCUCUGAAGAUGAGUGUGUCCUGGAGGGCAGGCCCCAGGCCAGGCAGUGUCCCCAGUGGGACACCAAGGCAGGCGAUGAGAGCAGGCGCUAGCUGUCCUCAAAUGCAGAGUGGGGCCACUGUCCUCCACUAUUACCUAGUCUAACCCAACAUUUUAUGUAUUCUUUUCAAAUAGCAGAUGCUGUAUCAUCAGUCAGAGUCCCAGUAUAAACAGGUAACACAUUCCAUUCAAGAAAGCCAUAUGCUUGAAGGUGUAUGGGUAGAGUUGAGGGAAGUCAACAAGAAAUGACCCAGGAUCCCAGGGCCAGGGAGAGAGAGGGGCUGUUACCACCCUGAGGCCUGGAGGAUGAAGGGCAGGGACUGUAGUUGGAUGGAGAAAGCCAUCAGGUGACCAGACUCGCCAUCACCUAGAAAGAAAAACAAAGAAGACCAAAGGGAAUGAGGCAGGUUUUGAUGGAAGGGAGAAGCCAGGGGAAAACCCUGCUUCACUCUCCCUGGGAUUUCUGGUCUCUGCCAGUGCCUUCCAACGGCCACCCCCAACCCAGAAGCCAGCGAUCAAGGGGGCGGCCUGGUGCUGCCCAGACGGGUCAGCCUCAGGGCAGAGAGCAGAGUAGAGAAUAGAUCUGGAUUUGCAAACAGAAGACAUCCAGCCACUGGCACAUAGUGGCAAUUAUUGGACAGUCUGGUGAUUUGGCAAAAAAGUGACUAUGAUUAAUAUUCCUAUACAGUGAAAUUCUAUAGUUUU
rnacentral:lncRNA from 1 species